CCUAAAGCAUCCGUAGCCGGCUCUGUAAGUUUUCGGUUAAAUCUGUACGCUCAACGUACAGGCUGCUGGGAAUACUGCAGAGCUAGGGAGUGGAGAGGUAGACGGUACUCGGGAGGAAGUGGUAAAAUGCUUUGAUCUCUCGAUGACCACCUGUGGCGAAGGCGGUCUACCAGAACACGUCCGACGGUGAGGGAUGAAAGCUGGGGGAGCAAACCGGAUUAGAUACCCGGGUAGUCCCAGCUGUAAACGAUGCAGACUCGGUGAUGCCCUGGCUUGUGGCCAGUGCAGUGCCGCAGGGAAGCCGUUAAGUUUGCCGCCUGGGAAGUACGUACGCAAGUAUGAAACUUAAAGGAAUUGGCGGGGGAGCACCACAAGGGGUGAAGCCUGCGUUCAAUUGGAGUCAACGCCAGAAAUCUUACCCGAGGAGACAGCAGAAUGAAGGUCAAGCUGGAGACUUUACCAGACAAGCUGAGAAGUGGAGCAUGGCCGUCGCCAGCUCGUGCCGUGAGAUGUCCUGUUAAGUCAGGUAACGAGCGAGAUCCCUGCCUCUAGUUGCCACCAUUACUAUUAGAGGGACCGCCACAGUUAAUGUGGAGGAGGAAGGGGCCACGGCAGGUCAGUAUGCCCUGAAACCUUGGGGCCACACGCGGGCUGCAAUGGUAGUGACAAUGAGUUUCCGAAUCCGAAAGGAGGAGGCAAUCUUCAAACGCUACCACAGUUAUGAUUGAGGGCUGCAACUCGCCCUCAUGAAUAUGGAAUCCCUAGUAACCGCGUGUCAUUACCGCGCAGUGAAUACGUCCCUGCUCCUU
rnacentral:rRNA from 1 species